UUUUUUCACUGUUUAUUUUUUAAGGGAAAGGGAAUCCCCGGGAAGGUGCUAUAGGACGGGGAUCCCCAGAAUGUCGAGAGAUUUCUUUGUGCGUCGCGUGAUUAACUAGCGGAAAUGUAAAUUAUGAAAUGUUUUUAUUAGAUGUGUGCUUUAUAAUGAUAAUUAAAAUUGACGAGGUAAUCUAUUGGUGGAAAGUAUAUUCGAUUCAACGCAUCGGAUAAGCAUGAAUGAAAUUUCAUUUUAGAGCAGUCUUUGUGAUGUCAUCAAAUAAAUUCCCCGUGUGAAUGCCAGGGGCAACUCUUGUCCUUAAAACUCGAUUAUCAUUACUUAUUGAACUUGUAAAUAUCAAGAGUUUUUGAGUUUCUCAUACAUCCGCCAGGAGCGUGGGCCUGAAGAAAUGCACGACCAAAAAUUGUCAUCAGUCGAGGCACAGCUUCGUAGUCGGAAGCAUUGUGCGUGGGCCGCACCUCGAGUAGGAUAAAAAUAGCACUGCAUUUAAAUCAGGAUCCAACGAGCCUCGCAUCGAUUCGAAAGUUUCUCUUAAACAAAACAGCAGUAGCAGCAACAAAAAGAGUUCGUCUUCCGGUGGCAACAAUAAGCAACAGGCGGAAAUUCGGACACUUCCUUAUGCUAAUGCUCGUCAGCAGGCUAAGGGCAACAGUAGGCAAGGGCAGAAUGAUCGAGAGGUAAUAACACUCGAGACCGAUGAUGCACGGGCCGGAUCUUCUCGCUCCAAAAGUGACGACAUAAUGAACGAUGC